rnacentral:lncRNA from 1 species
UCACAUUCUUAUUCUACAGGAUUUUUCUUCGUAAUCCACAUAGCAGAUUGUACGCCCAAGCAAGAUCUUGUCCGCAAUUAUGAAGGGGACAAGGAGGUAAGCGUCAUUUUUGCACUCUUUUUUUUAAGAUAGUGAAGAAGGUGCUCUUUAGCGUACACAAUCAACACUGUCAAGUGCAUCUGAACCUACCAUCUAUCACGAUUCUUCUCAUUUUCCGACUCGCAUCACAGACCAUGUGACAAUUUAAUUUGGAAAAUUUUGUUAAAUAUCUAAGUGCACUGGUGAAUUAAACUUUUUGGAACUGUUUAAAAACAGAAAUCACCUGAUUUUAAAUACUACGUCAUUUGAGUUACCUGGCUGUAAACCAAGAACGACCUAGCAUGUCUAGGUGUAUUGUGAUCAGAAACCACAUCCACUAAGCGGCAGUCUCACCUUGGAUUCCGCAUGCCUUUUCGUUUCAUCUUCCAAAACAGUUUCCUUCUUUCUCCUCUUUUCUUCCUUUCUUCCCAUGCUAGGAUUUCCCUUGUUUACGGCUAGCCUGUUCCCAAGUGCUGAAAGGCAAAGUGAUCUCUUAUUCGACUCCAUAUUGCUGUGCUGCAUUUAUUCAUUAAGAAAAUAACGGAAACUUUGUAGGCGGAUUGUGCAAAAGUGGUGGCCUGUAGAAACUUUGCGCAAGAUGACUCUCAAUCAGCAUCAAUAGAUAGGGUUAAUACAAUAACAAAAAUUAGGAAUUGGUGUGAGUACACAUCUCGGCAAGCAGUUUGCAGGGUCGUUUGCACCAUUGUUUACUGAGAAAGAAGUUCGUAUGUACGUGAAUACAUCACUGGCCGAAGUCACCAGUCAAGAAUGUCAGUGUCCCUGUUUUUCCAUAAUUUGGAAGUUUACAUCUCUGUUAUUACUUUUUCAUGUCACUGAAGAAAACAUCUACCUUCAAUCAUUAGAAAUUUGGUGAAGAAGCUGUCCAUCUAAUUGAUUCGUUCUUCUGUCAUUUGCAGAAAACAGCCUUUAGGCUCGGAUGAGGAAGAUAAUUUAUCAAUUGAUUAUCAGCUACCAGAUUCUGACCAAGAGCUGGAUGAAGAUGACAAAGCAAUCUUAAAGAAGACAAGACAGCAGUUGCAUGGAGCAAAUGAUACUGAUUCUGACAGUGAGGAAGAAGUUUUGCCUUUACAGUCAUCUUCAGAAGACAGUGAUGAUUCCGAUGAUGAAGAAAAUUUGAAGAUGAGGACAAAGAUGUCCUUGGGGAUGAUGAAGGGGACUUGCCUGACCCAAAAGCAUGGGGACGGAAACGGAAAAAUUACUAUGACACCGAUUACAUAGAUCAAGAUUUUGGGGGUGAGUGCACCAUCUCAGUUUAAAAAAUUACCGAGUAAUUUUUUACUACCAACACUGGACUUAAAGUACUUUCAUAUGUUCAGAGGUAUAUAUUUCUGUAGCCCCUAAUACUUUACUGUAUUUUUAUCUCAGCAG